CCUACGGGGGACAGCAGUGAGGAAUAUUGGUCAAUGGACGGAAGUCUGAACCAGCCAAGUAGCGUGAAGGAUGACUGCCCUACGGGUUGUAAACUUCUUUUAUAAAGGAAUAAAGUGAGUCACGUGUGCCUUUUUGUAUGUACUUUAUGAAUAAGGAUCGGCUAACUCCGUGCCAGCAGCCGCGGUAAUACGGAGGAUCCGAGCGUUAUCCGGAUUUAUUGGGUUUAAAGGGAGCGUAGAUGGGUUGUUAAGUCAGUUGUGAAAGUUUGCGGCUCAACCGUAAAAGUGCAAUUGAUACUGGCAGACUUGAGUACAGUUGAGGUAGGCGGAAUUCGUUGUGUAGCGGUGAAAUGCUUAGAUAUCACGAAGAACUCCGAUUGCGAAGGCAGCCUACUAAACUGCAACUGACAUUGAGGCUCGAAAGUGUGGGUAUCAAACAGGAUUAGAUACCCCUGUAGUC
rnacentral:rRNA from 1 species